AGGGGAAUAGCUCAAUUGGCAGAGCGUCGGUCUCCAAAACCGAAGGUCGGGGGUUCGAGGCCCUCUUCCCCUGCCA
rnacentral:tRNA from 4 species